rnacentral:rRNA from 1 species
GACGAACGCUGGCGGCGUGCUUAACACAUGCAAGUCGAACGGUGAAAGCGGAGCUUGCUCCGCUGGAUCAGUGGCGAACGGGUGAGUAACACGUGGGCAACCUGCCCCUCACUUCGGGAUAACUCCGGGAAACCGGGGCUAAUACCGGAUAUGACCUCCUUGGGCAUCCUUGGAGGUGGAAAGUCUUUCGGUGGAGGAUGGGCCCGCGGCCUAUCAGCUUGUUGGUGAGGUAGUGGCUCACCAAGGCGACGACGGGUAGCCGGCCUGAGAGGGCGACCGGCCACACUGGGACUGAGACACGGCCCAGACUCCUACGGGAGGCAGCAGUGGGGAAUAUUGCGCAAUGGGCGAAAGCCUGACGCAGCAACGCCGCGUGCGGGAUGACGGCCUUCGGGUUGUAAACCGCUUUCAGCAGGGAAGAAGCCGCAAGGUGACGGUACCUGCAGAAGAAGCACCGGCUAACUACGUGCCAGCCGCCGCAGUAA